rnacentral:rRNA from 1 species
GACGAACGCUGGCGGCGUGCUUAACACAUGCAAGUCGAACGGAAAGACCCUGCUUUUGUGGGGUGCUCGAGUGGCGAACGGGUGAGUAACACGUGAGUAACCUGCCCUUGACUUUGGGAUAACUUCAGGAAACUGGGGCUAAUACCGGAUAGGAGCUCCUGCUGCAUGGUGGGGGUUGGAAAGUUUCGGCGGUUGGGGAUGGACUCGCGGCUUAUCAGCUUGUUGGUGGGGUAGUGGCUUACCAAGGCUUUGACGGGUAGCCGGCCUGAGAGGGUGACCGGCCACAUUGGGACUGAGAUACGGCCCAGACUCCUACGGGAGGCAGCAGUGGGGAAUAUUGCACAAUGGGCGGAAGCCUGAUGCAGCAACGCCGCGUGCGGGAUGACGGCCUUCGGGUUGUAAACCGCUUUCGCCUGGGACGAAGCGUGAGUGACGGUAAUGGGUAAAGAAGCACCGGCUAACUACGUG